AGAGUUUGAUCAUGGCUCAGGAUGAACGCUGGCGGCGUGCCUAAUACAUGCAAGUCGAACGAGGUGCCUUUGUAGCAAUACGGAGGUAUCCUAGUGGCGAACGGGUGAGUAACGCGUUGGUGACCUGCCCCAAAGUCUGGGAUAACAGUUCGAAAGGACUGCUAAUACCGGAUGUGGUCAUCGGGAUUAGAAUCCGAUGUCUAAAGGAGUAAUUCGCUUUGGGAGGGGCCUGCGUCCCAUCAGCUAGUUGGUAGGGUAACGGCUUACCAAGGCGACGACGGGUAGGGGACCUCAGAGGGUGGCCCCCCACAAUGGAACUGAAACACGGUCCAUACACCUACGGGUGGCAGCAGUAGGGAAUAUUGCACAAUGGGCGAAAGCCUGAUGCAGCAACGCCGCGUGUGCGAAGAAGGCCUUCGGGUCGUAAAGCACUUUUCUGGGAGAUGAGAAAGGACAGUAUCCCAGGAAUAAGUCUCGGCUAACUACGUGCCAGCAGCCGCGGUAAAACGUAGGAGGCGAGCGUUAUCCGGAUUCACUGGGCGUAAAGCGCGUGCAGGCGGUUUGGUAAGUUGGGCGUGAAAGCUCCCGGCUCAACUGGGAGAGGUCGUCCAAAACUACCAGACUAGAGAGUGAUAGAGGAAAAUGGAAUUCCCGGUGUAGUGGUGAAAUGCGUAGAUAUCGGGAGGAACACCAGUGGCGAAGGCGAUUUUCUGGAUCAUUUCUGACGCUCAGACGCGAAAGCUAGGGUAGCAAACGGGAUUAGAUACCCUAGUAGUCC
rnacentral:rRNA from 1 species